GAUGAACGCUGGCGGCGUGCCUAAUACAUGCAAGUCGAGCGAACAGACGAGGAGCUUGCUCCUCUGACGUUAGCGGCGGACGGGUGAGUAACACGUGGAUAACCUACCUAUAAGACUGGGAUAACUUCGGGAAACCGGAGCUAAUACCGGAUAAUAUAUUGAACCGCAUGGUUCAAUAGUGAAAGACGGUUUUGCUGUCACUUAUAGAUGGAUCCGCGCCGCAUUAGCUAGUUGGUAAGGUAACGGCUUACCAAGGCAACGAUGCGUAGCCGACCUGAGAGGGUGGUCGCCCACACUGGAACGGAGACACGGUCCAGACUCCUACGGGAGGCAGCAGUAGGGAAUCUUCCGCAAUGGGCGAAAGCCUGACGGAGCAACGCCGCGUGAGUGAUGAAGGUCUUCGGAUCGUAAAACUCUGUUAUUAGGGAAGAACAAAUGUGUAAGUAACUAUGCACGUCUUGACGGUACCUAAUCAGAAAGCCACGGCUAACUACGUG
rnacentral:rRNA from 1 species